AACGUGCUUUCGAAUAUCGUCUAAUCUUCACGGUUGGUUUUUCUCGAACUUCCGGAAGAGAUAACGUGGUCACAUGGAACGACAUCCAUCACAAAACAAGGAGAGAUGGAGGGCCUGAAAAAUAUGGCUAUCCUGAUCCAGAAUACUUGUCAGAAAUUAGAGAUGAACUGAAUGCCAAAGGAAUUUCAGAGGAAUGAAAACUGAUACUUUACCUGAAAUGACAAUAAAGAUGCUGUUUUUUA